rnacentral:rRNA from 1 species
AUUGAACGCUGGCGGCAGGCCUAACACAUGCAAGUCGAGCGGAGCGGCGGACGGGUGGGUAAUGCCUAGGAAUCGGCCUGGUCGUGGGGGAUAGCGUACGGAACCGGGAGCUAAGACAGCAUCCUAUCAGAUGAGCCUAGGCCGGAUUAGCUAGUUGGUGGGGUAAAGGCCUACAAGGGCGACGAUCCCUAACUGGGCUGAGAGGAUGAUCAGUAACCUUGGAACUGAGACACGGUCCAGACUCCUACGGGAGGCAGCAGUGGGGAAUAUUGGACAAUGGGCGAAAGCCUGAUCCAGCCAUGCCGCGUGUGUGAAGAAGGUCUUCGGAUUGUAAAGCACUUUAAGUUGGGAGGCGUUACCAACAGAAUAAGCACCGGCUAACUUCGUGCCAGCAGCCGCGGUAAUAC